GCCUUCCUCCCAAAGGACACCGGGGUGCUCCUCACUGAAGUCAAGACAGCAGAAAUGAAGUUCUACUACGACUUCCUGGAGACGUUUUCUGGGAAGGAGAACUUGGAACAAGAGAUUUUCAAGGUCCCCUGGCUGCUGGACAUGGUGGUGUCCCGGAUGGUACCUGUGGCCUCCCUGAGUUUCUCUGGCCAUGUCGUCAUCUUUCCCGAGUGAGGAUGUUGGCGGCUGUAGCCGCUCUCAAGGUGACAUUUGCUCCUCUUGACCCCGCGGGCGUCCUCCCUUGGGGCCACCCAUCAGUCACUCUUGAUAUCCCCGGGCCGUGGUCGCUCCCGUAAGGCAGAUUUGAUGGGUAGGACCGAGGAAUUUAGACAACACUUUCUGCCCAUGGGGGC